rnacentral:rRNA from 1 species
AUGCACGCUGGCGGCGUGCCUCAUACCUGCAAGUCGCGCGCACAGACGAGGAGUUUGCUCCUCUGACGUUAGCGGCGGACGGGUGAGUAACACGUGGAUAACCUACCUAUAAGACUGGGAUAACUUCGGGAAACCGGAGCUAAUACCGGAUAAUAUAUUGAACCGCAUGGUUCAAUAGUGAAAGACGGUUUUGCUGUCACUUAUAGAUGGAUCCGCGCCGCAUUAGCUAGUUGGUAAGGUAACGGCUUACCAAGGCAACGAUGCGUAGCCGACCUGAGAGGGUGAUCGGCCACACUGGAACUGAGACACGGUCCAGACUCCUACGGGAGGCAGCAGUAGGGAAUCUUCCGCAAUGGGCGAAAGCUUGACGGAGCAACGCCGCGUGAGUGAUGAAGGUCUUCGGAUCGUAAAGCUCUGUUAUUAGGGAAGAACAAAUGUGUAAGUAACUAUGCACGUCUUGACGGUACCUAAUCAGAAAGCCACGGCUAACUACGUG